AUUGAACGCUGGCGGCAGGCUUAACACAUGCAAGUCGAACGAUGAUUGUCUAGCUUGCUAGAUAUGAUUAGUGGCGGACGGGUGAGUAACAUUUAGGAAUCUGCCUAGUAGUGGGGGAUAGCUCGGGGAAACUCGAAUUAAUACCGCAUACGACCUACGGGUGAAAGGGGGCGCAAGCUCUUGCUAUUAGAUGAGCCUAAAUCAGAUUAGCUAGUUGGUGGGGUAAAGGCCCACCAAGGCGACGAUCUGUAACUGGUCUGAGAGGAUGAUCAGUCACACCGGAACUGAGACACGGUCCGGACUCCUACGGGAGGCAGCAGUGGGGAAUAUUGGACAAUGGGGGCAACCCUGAUCCAGCCAUGCCGCGUGUGUGAAGAAGGCCUUUUGGUUGUAAAGCACUUUAAGCAGGGAGGAGAGGCUAAUGGUUAAUACCCAUUAGAUUAGACGUUACCUGCAGAAUAAGCACCGGCUAACUCUGUGCCAGCAGCCGCCGUAA
rnacentral:rRNA from 1 species